GGCCGCUUAGCUCAGUUGGCUAGAGCGUCUGAUUUACAUUCAGUAGGUCGGGGGUUCAAAUCCCUCAGCGGCCA
rnacentral:tRNA from 3 species